rnacentral:tRNA from 1 species
GCCGGCGUAGCUCAGCGGUAGAGCAGCUGAUUCGUAAUCAGCAGGCCAAGAGUUCGAAUCUCUUCGCCGGCUUCA